rnacentral:rRNA from 1 species
UACGGAGGGUGCAAGCGUUGCUCGGAAUUAUUGGGCGUAAAGCGCACGUAGGCGGCCGUGUAAGUCGGGUGUGAAAGCCCUGGGCUCAACCCAGGAAGUGCACUCGAAACUGCUCGGCUUGAGUAUGGAAGAGGGUUGCGGAAUUCCCGGUGUAGAGGUGAAAUUCGUAGAUAUCGGGAGGAACACCAGUGGCGAAGGCGGCAACCUGGGCCAAUACUGACGCUGAGGUGCGAAAGCGUGGGGAGCAAACAGG